GUCUACAGCCAUACUAUCCUGAACACGCCCGAUCUCGUCUGAUCUCCGAAGCUAAGCAGGGUCAGGCCUGGUUAGUACUUGGAUGGGAGGCCGCCUGGGAAUACCGGGUGCUGUAGGCU
rnacentral:rRNA from 1 species